UGGGGAAUAUUGGACAAUGGGCGAAAGCCUGAUCCAGCCAUGCCGCGUGUGUGAAGAAGGUCUUCGGAUUGUAAAGCACUUUAAGUUGGGAGGAAGGGCAUUAACCUAAUACGUUAGUGUUUUGACGUUACCGACAGAAUAAGCACCGGCUAACUCUGUGCCAGCAGCCGCGGUAAUACAGAGGGUGCAAGCGUUAAUCGGAAUUACUGGGCUUAAAGCGCGCGUAGGUGGUUUGUUAAGUUGGAUGUGAAAUCCCCGGGCUCAACCUGGGAACUGCAUUCAAAACUGACUGACUAGAGUAUGGUAGAGGGUGGUGGAAUUUCCUGUGUAGCGGUGAAAUGCGUAGAUAUAGGAAGGAACACCAGUGGCGAAGGCGACCACCUGGACUAAUACUGACACUGAGGUGCGAAAGCGUGGGGAGCAAACA
rnacentral:rRNA from 1 species